UUAUUAACGCUGGCGGCGUGCCUAAUACAUGCAAGUCGAGCGAACAGACGAGGAGCUUGCUCCUCUGACGUUAGCGGCGGACGGGUGAGUAACACGUGGAUAACCUACCUAUAAGACUGGGAUAACUUCGGGAAACCGGAGCUAAUACCGGAUAAUAUAUUGAACCGCAUGGUUCAAUAGUGAAAGACGGUUUUGCUGUCACUUAUAGAUGGAUCCGCGCCGCAUUAGCUAGUUGGUAAGGUAACGGCUUACCAAGGCAACGAUGCGUAGCCGACCUGAGAGGGUGAUCGGCCACACUGGAACUGAGACACGGUCCAGACUCCUACGGGAGGCAGCAGUAGGGAAUCUUCCGCAAUGGGCGAAAGCCUGACGGAGCAACGCCGCGUGAGUGAUGAAGGUCUUCGGAUCGUAAAACUCUGUUAUUAGGGAAGAACAAAUGUGUAAGUAACUAUGCACGUCUUGACGGUACCUAAUCAGAAAGCCACGGCUAACUACGUG
rnacentral:rRNA from 1 species